GGGUGUCAAGGACGAUGAUUCCAUAGGGACUAAAUGUUCCAACGGUUUGUGGGUAGUUCUUUUGAAUCCAUGGUAACAGCCACUGUGAGAUCAGGUAUUUACUUCCUAGUGCACCUAGGAGUAUAGGUUAUAUGUGUUCGCGUGUGUUAAAAUUCAAAACUGUUAAAGGGCAAAAGU